rnacentral:rRNA from 1 species
GCAUAUCAAUAAGCGGAGGAAAAGAAAAUAACAAUGAUUUCCCUAGUAACGGCGAGUGAARRGAAAGAGCUCAAAGUUGGAACCUGUUUGGCCUAGCUAAACCGGAUUGUAGACUGUAGAAGUGUUUUCCAGGCAAGCCGAGUAAAUAAGUCCUUUGGAACAGGGCAUCAUAGAGGGUGAGAAUCCCGUCUUUGGCUUGAGCAUUUGCCUUUUGUGAUACGCUUUCAAAGAGUCAGGUUGUUUGGGAAUGCAGCCUAAAUUGGGUGGUAAAUCUCACCUAAAGCUAAAUAUUGGCGAGAAACCGAUAGCGAACAAGUACCGUGAGGGAAAGAUGAAAAGAACUUUGAAAAGAGAGUUAAACAGUAUGUGAAAUUGUUAAAAGGGAACCGUUUGGAGCCAGACUGGCUUGUCUGUAAUCAAUCUAGGCUUCGGCCUGGAUGCACUUGCAGGCUAUGCCUGCCAACGACAAUUUGACUUGAGGGAAAAAACUAAGGGAAAUGUGGCCCACUUGUGGGUGUUAUAGUCCCUUAGAAAAUACCUUGGGUUGGAUUGAGGAACGCAGCGAAUGCUUUUUGGCGAGUUUUCCAGGAAGGUUUUCUGAGGUACUACGGUAUCAAGGUUGAUCUUUUUGGUUAUACUUCUAUUCGCUUAGGUUGUUGGCUUAAUGACUCUAAAUGACCCGUCUUGAAACACGGACCAAGGAGUCCACCAUUAGUGCGAGUAUUUGGGUGCCAAACCCAUAUGCGUAAGGAAACUGAUUGAUACGAAUCCAUUAAGGAGGCAGUAUCGUCCGGCGCUGACGUUUUAUACUGAAUUGACCGAGACAAAGCACUAAUGAUGGGACCCGAAAGAUGGUGAACUAUGCCUGAAUAGGGUGAAKCCAGAGGAAACUCUGGUGGAGGCUCGUAGCGAUUUCUGAMGUGCAAAUCGAUCGUCAAAUUUGGGUAUAGGGGGCGAAAGACUAAUCGAACCAUCUAGUAGCUGGUUCCUGCCGA